rnacentral:rRNA from 1 species
UGAGGAACAUGACCUACGGCGGGGGAUAGCCGGCCCAACGGCCGGGUAAUACCGCGUACGACCACUUGGGGACAUCCCUAGGUGGUGAAAGCAGCAAUGCGCCGAUGGAGNGCCUCGCGGCCUAUCAGCUAGUUGGUGAGGUAACGGCUCACCAAGGCAACGACGGGUAGCUGGUCUGAGAGGAUGGCCAGCCACAUUGGGACUGAGAUACGGCCCAGACUCCGUACGGGAGCAG